GGUUCCGUGGUGUAGUGGUUAUCACACCUGCUUUACAUGCAGAAGGCCGCCGGUUCCAUCCCGGCCGGAAUCA